UACGUAGGGGGCUAGCGUUGUCCGGAAUCAUUGGGCGUAAAGCGCGCGUAGGCGGCCAGAUAAGUCCGGUGUGAAAGUCAAAGGCUCAACCUUUGAAUGCCGCUGGAAACUGGUCUGGCUUGAGUCCGGGAGGGGCGAGUGGAAUUCCGUGGUGUAGCGGUGAAAUGCGCAGAUAUCAGGAGGAACACCAAUGGCGAAGGC
rnacentral:rRNA from 1 species